AUUAUGUUCAAUGACAUUAGUUGAAAAAAGAACCAAAUGGGGCGGGGGCCUCGGGAUGUUUGUGUUUUGUUCCCAGAGACUCCAAUCAGAGUCCAUCAGAAGCGUCCACACACUCACCCAUAUUCUCUUGCCUUGGCUUUCUCGUGGAGUCAGUCAGAUACUGUCUGUCUUCGUCGUUUCGUUGAGUUUAAACUUGUUUGUUUAGUUCCGAAAGCGAAGCGGUGGAGUGGGGGGAACGGUGCCGUUGGUGCUGGGUGGGUAUGUAUUGUGGAUGUUGAUGUUUCUUGUUUUGUAUAUGGGGGGUAGUCAGCGUUUUCUUCCCACUUCUUUAAAACGGUCAUAACUGGUUGGGGAGGGGGGAUGAUGUUCCUUUGUCCGUUGUAUGCUUAUUAUAUAUGGCUUCCUUGUUUCCAGACCAAUCACAUUUCUAAAUUCUGGAUGUAAUAAUCGUCCCUCCGGCUCCGGAAUGUGGUUGUAUUCAUGCAUAUUUGGCGUUGCUUCUCUUAAAUGGGGGUUCGCUUAAAUUGUACCACUACAGCUUUAUGCUUAGCUGUAUCCUGUAUGGCUCAGGCAUUGAAGCUCCCAAUACGACUGAUGGAUUAAAUAAAAGAAAGUCCCUUGCAGCAGGGGCCAGGGGUGACCGUCUCUCUCUCGGUCUCUUCAGGCUUCAGUUCUGCUGUGCUGCUUAUUGGGUGGCACUUGGCAACGUCCGAGACUCAACUCCCAAUCUAAUCCCGGGCCGGCCACUAAUACUAUGACUGAACGCAGCUUAUUUCCUUUUGGGUUUCUUGCAGAUAAGGGCAAUUUUUUGCCCUGAAUAUCAAUAAAAGAUAAUAUUUUUAUAAAAUAACAAAAACAUGCUAGUUUUUUUUGAAAAGUAUCAACAAAGGGAAAUGACAUUGUUGAUCGUCCUCCUCUGCCCUUCCUCUGAUGAUGGAGGCCGGAAUUCCCUCUGCAGCUCUGGUGAUGAGAUUCUCGUUGAGUAUAUUAAGAAGAACGGCCACGGAAGCUGGAGAUCACUUCCUAAUCACGCAGGAUUGAGUGGGUGAGUUGUGGUGGAUCGUAUCGGGGCGACUAGUGAACGAGUAAAACGAGUUGUCCGACUCCGUUUAAUCUCGGUGCUGACUGCUGAGCAUCGUUAUCCAGAUGUCAUACACCAUUAAAUCGACACGUUUAAGACGUUUCGAAAUACUUUGAACACUUGUUUUUUUGGUUAAUCCGGUAUGCCUGAACCACGAGGAUUCCGGAUCUGAAACCCAAUUACGAGUAAACACGUUAGUUGCUGUAAUCUGAAAACAGUACGAAUCGAUGUCGUGUUUACUUCCGAUUGAAAUUUUUUAGCCCGUUCUCUACUUGUUUGCAGUCACUGAAAGCUGAAGACGAAUCACUAAAGUUGCAGAGGGAAUUCCGGCCUCAUCACCAAUGGAAGGGUAGAGGAAGACGAUGAACAGUAUUAUUACCCUUAGUUGAUAUUUUUUAAAAAUAGCUAUCUUAUUUUUGUUAUUUUAAAAAAAUAUUAUCUUUUUGAUAUUGAGAGCAAAAAAGUUGCUCUUAUGUGCAAGAAACCCUUUUCCUUUUUACUUGCAUGCAUAUAAUUGAGAGUGACAGCUGCCAAUGGAUUCUGUGAAUUUAUAGAUGGAAAAUGACAUAAUAGUCUCUGACUACCUGUGAAUGUGGAGGAAAAGUAAGAACAGAAAAAAAGAAAAAAGAAAAAAAAGAUAAUACGGAGUAUGGAGAUGGAGUGAAUGAAAGGCGGGAGUGGCACCUCCUCCAAUUUUAGGCUCAGUAUAGGAGUAGGAAUACAAAUAUGUACGGUGCAAAUAUAUACAAGGUUUUGCACUCUACAUGUUUGUAUUUGUACUCGUAAACUGAGUGUUACGGACAAUUAGAAUGCUUACAGCGACCUCAGCUAUACCGGCUAUACCGGUCUAAUGUCUGAGUGGCAUAACUACUUAACUAGUGGAGUACUUGAGUGGAGUGAAGCAACAAAAGGUGGUGUAGAAAAUAAUAAGAAAUUUUGAUGGAACCCGAGGCCGGGAAUCAAGAUACGAUGCACGAGCAUUCCCCACCCUGAUUUGUCUGUAACAGUAAAGUGGAACAGAUUCCACAAAUGUGUCCACCCUCCAGCGGUUGCAUUCUCCAUUUUCUCCUCCUCCUCUACCUCUACACUCAACACUCCGGGGACAUGCCGGCCGGUAAAUGUUGAAACCGUACAAAUAUAGUAGGGACGGCUGAUUUUGGAAAAUACCUAACCGCCUAACACUCGACUCACUAAACAGUAAACCCUACACAAAAAUACCAAUUAUUUAUGACGCCCCUUUUCGGCUUUCCCGCUCAUUGUCCUGUGUUUUGGUUCUCCAAACUCGAAUCUUCGUCUUUCGUCAAUCGUCUGGACAAUGGGUAAUUUCGUCAAUUUACCAGGAAUGCAAUUGCUGCCUGGUGGUAAGGUACGUCCGUCAUCUGUAGCCAGCUGGAUACCACCGCUAAUCUUGGAAAAGAGAGGCUCCAGGCUCCAGCUCCUGCGGUGGGUACACUUGGGUACCCUAACCCAACCCAGAAGUUAGAAGUAGAAGCUGCCCUGUACGAUCCAGGGCUGAUCCGGGUUGGAGAGGGACCACUUACUUUUAUUGAAUAAAAUUCUUUGGUCAAAAUAAUGGUUUGAAACAAUUAAAGACGAUUCGAAAAGAUUUUCGCGCUCCCUCUCUCUCUCUUCCCCUUGCUUGCUUGUUUGAAAGUUAUUUUAAGAGACGACGAGGGUAUCGGUACGAGUAUGAGAUGUUCAAAUUGAGCUUUGAGCCAUGAGCGCGGCAGCAGGUUUCAUUCAAAAGUAGCAGCCUAGCAUCAAGAGAGAAUAGAAGAGCCCCCAUACUCAAUCGUGCAUUCCUAUCGCCUGAAGCUUACUUACGUCACUUCAUCCAAUUCAUUCAAAAGUAAGUGGCACAGCAAUAAUUAUUAAUUAGAGGGCUGUAGACCUGUCUGUGCGUUCACGGUUUUAGUUGGGGGAUAGAGUUGGUAGGGUUCCAAGGGUAUGGGCGGUAUGCAUGGCCCCCGCGGUAGUACCCAUUGUAAUGUAUUCACGCAAUUUGAUCCGCAAAAAGUGGUCACUGUCCCAUUCACGCAAUCUUCACCUUCCGUGUUAUUACUCUCUAUCUCUCUCUCUCUCUUAUUUUUUAUCACCACACGACGCCACCUGUCGAAUAACUGGAUGUUCCAUUAACUACCACGUGGACUGUGGACCGAGUUAUCCACGUCCCCCACUUCUCUCUCGUUCUCUCUUCUCUCUUCCCGACUAUAUCUGUCUCUUCCGCCCACGGCUCACGGCAAGGGCACCUGAACUCGUAUCAGAUUCAAUUAUGAUACCGAAAAAUAGGAUACCCUAAAAAGAUGUAUAAUCAAGGAACCGGUAUGAUAAAAGUGAUGAUGAUGAUUCGAGAUUUGGUGUUCCCUGGUGGUAGACAGUUCGGACGUUGAAUUGACUAAAUUGUCUAGUUAAUCUGUAAAAGAAAAGAUCAGAGAGGUUGUGGGUUGUUUUAUUCGUGUUAGGCAUUUUGAUGUUUAAGUCAGUGAUGAAUUGUGAAAAAUCAAAAAAUUUAAGAGCGAAUCGUGCAUAACACUUCCAUCAAAGGGGAUGCCUUUAUAUAUGUAGACUGUCCGAGAUCCAUGAAACACGUCCGAAGUCUUUGGCUCAUCUGGUUUGGAGGCGAGUUGAGCCGGCUAUGUUUUCGAGAAGCCAUAGCCAUGACAGUCUGGGAGGCAUAGCCAACCGGUUUGAGAGGUCGGCCCACCUGUGUUUUCGAGAAGGCAUUGAUCAUUGGAGAGUCAGUCUCAAUGGAGCUGAAAGGGGAUGCCUUUAUAGCCACGACGGUCUCCAUGGUUUCAAAUGUAGUCCCUCACCUUUGUUGAGAGCCAUAGCCAACCGGUCUCCAUAGCUAGGAUGCCUUUAUAUAGGUAGACUCUCAGAGCUCAAUGUGCGUCCGAGGUCUCUAACCCAUCUAGAAGAGUAGGUAUUUUUUCCUUUUUCAGGAGGUUGGUUGGUCCAUGGACAUCGUUUGGCAACAAGAGAUGAGAAAAGUUUAUGAGAUUCAGUUUAACGAAGGGUUGUCUCUUGAGGCCCAAUGCCUCGUUUGUUGGCAGUUAAUGAUAAAUUAAUUCUUAGUUGAUCCUAUGCUUGUUUGGGUUGGCUUGAGUCCUAUAAAUAGGUCAGCCUGGUCGUCGCUUGUUAUCUUUAUUUCAAAAGAUAUUUUUUAGCUUGGCUAACUCAUGCUUUUCUGUAUGUUUCCUCAUAAAUGGUGUGUUAAUUCCCUUUUGGUGGUGGCCAAGAGGCCCUUAAGAAAAGAAGAGGAGGGCGGCGGAUUCCUCAAUUCGGUCGUCAAUGGAGGGCUCAUCAGCCGAUGCCGAGAGGCUUGCUAUGUGUAUGCCUGAGGUGGUCGACCUCGAGGGGGGCGACAAUCCUAUGUCCGUAGAGCCCGCUCAGGUCUUUACAGGUCUAGCUGCCUUGUCACCCCAGGUCGACCUAGAUGAGUGCACCGUCGGCCCCUCACACUUUGAGAUACCUUGAUUCAUCCCUAAUAUUGAUGUUUCGAUUGCUGACUGACUAACUAAUCCUCUGGUCGCUCUACGAGUGGGGAGGGGGAUCCUCCUUCCUAGGGACCUCCAAUACAACAAUGGGUUCGAUCCUACUGACGUUGCCACAAGGAUGACUCGGCAUAUCCUACAGGCAAACUCGAUGGGCCAGGUCUUGCUGAAUAUGGUCGCCGUGUUGAAGCGUGAAAAGCAGGAGAAUACAAAGGCCCUACAAGCCCAAUUAGAGGGAGCUCGCCUGAGCGCCGAGGCGGCCCAUUGCAGCGCAGAUGUUGGCCAUAAACGUGUUAGACAGUGUAUGCCCUUAGUUCCAAUC